GACGAACGCUGGCGGCGCGCUUAACACAUGCAAGUCGAGCGAAGCGGCGGACGGGUGAGUAACACGUGAGUAACCUGCAUUAGACAUUGGGAUAGCCUAGGGAAACCGGGAAUAAUACCAAAUGGUCUAAGAUGGACUCGCGUCCCAUUAGCUGGUUGGGAGGUAACGACCCACCAAGGCGACGAUGGGUAGACGGCCUGUGAGGGGGAACGGCCACAUUGGAACUGAGAAACGGUCCAAACUCUACGGGAGGCAGCAGUGGGGAAUAUUGCACAAUGGAGGGAACUCUGAUGCAGCGACGCCGCGUGAACGAAGAAGGCUUUCGAGUCGUAAAGUUCUUUUAUAUGGGAAGCGGUACCAUAAGAAAAAGCCCCGGCUAACUACGUGCCAGCAGCCGCGGUAAUAC
rnacentral:rRNA from 1 species